AGAAGGGAUCAAAGCCCUCCAUACUUCCUCUAUAUUAUUUCCUA
rnacentral:tRNA from 1 species